UUAACAGCUCCUAAUUGGCAUAUCGACGAAGAAUUAGAAUCAAAUUGAAAGAAAUUUUUCGAAUUAUUGACUUUCUCGAAAUGCAUAUUUUCAGAAACUUGUUGCUCGUAGCGGUCUUUAUUUUGUGCUGUGUGUGUGAUACCUUAGCACAAAGUAACACAACGAUUCCUGGCUUCUCCCCUGUUCCGGCCCCAUCAUGGUUCAAUCCAGCAACUUUUAACUCGAGCUGGUUGAACUUCGGACGAUAAGUUUGCAGAGUUUCCAGACGUCACCAAUUUGAACUGAUGGGGUUUUGAAUUUCCUUUUUUAAAUGUAAUAAAUUCUAUAUUUAUCUUGAUUUGUUAAUUAAAUUACUUGAUUUGUA